AAAAUUAUAAAAUGUCUUUAUUUCAAUGACAUAGUAACACUUCCGUUUGCCUCAAGUUUUGUUGAGGUUUUUGGUCUUUUUUGCACUCAAUUAUACCUUGUAACAAUAAUACGAAGUCAUGUGAUCUCAUAAAGUAUCAAUAGCAUUCACACUGUACAUCCCCUUGUAAUAUUUUACAAUGAUUUUUAUUUAACUUUACAAUUAUUUUUAAAUGUUUCUUCAUAUAGAAAAUAUAUACUUUGUUUAGGAGGAUCGAAACAACAAAUUUUCACUAAGAAUAUACUGAAAAACAACAAAUGAAAAUAUUUAUACCAAAAUACCAAAAAUGAUUCAACUAUUAAAACUAUCCUGUUGGACUCUACUCAGCAGUUUGCACAAGGGUCCUUUUGUGUUGCUCUACUGAAUAAUGAUUAGACAAAUACAAAGAGUACUGGAUACUUGUACGAGGUAAAUGCAAGUAAGCUAUUUGCUAUCCCUCAUGUGAUAAAUUAUUGUCCUAAGGUGCAAAUCUCAUGACUCAGUGACCUAUACAC
rnacentral:lncRNA from 1 species